AUGGAGGAAAAGAAACCCACAAAGCUGCCCCAGAAUAUCCCCUCCCAGGAAGAAAUGCCGGUGGCCUCCAAGAAAAAGAAAGGGAAAUUAAAGCUGAAGGUGAAGAAGAAAAGUUUGGUGCAGUCGGAGAAUACCUUGACAGAAGAUGACAGUGCGAAAGCAGCAGCAAGUGGGAGCAAAGUGGGAGGUGUCACUGUCCGCCGCCCCAGCAACAAGGUUGCCCAAGAGAACCCCAGAGUUCUGGAAUCAACUCCACCCCCAGCAGGACAAAGCACAAAGAAGAAAAAUAAAAGACUGAAAAAUAAAGUCAAAUCUCAGGAAUCAUCACAGACCCAGCCAAACGAGCACCUAUCAAGCACUUUUGAUUUGUAUCGGAGAGCCAUGCUGGCUUUGAAAAUGCAGCCACAGGGCCGGAAGCCACAGUCUACAACUACUCCCUAA
rnacentral:lncRNA from 1 species